AAGGUAAGGUAAGAGCUCUCUCUAAAGGGUACUUAAGAGUGCCCCAUUUUAUGUGUAAAACAGGCGCAAAUUUGCACCCUGCCGGGCCAAAGCAGUGAUUCUUUUUAAAAUCUUACUAUUAAAUACUGGAACGAAUUUGUCUCUCUCUUCGAUUUAUUUUUAGUUUAUCCUGUAUGGGCGAACUAACCAACCUUAAGUCUCCUACCCCUGCUUGAACAAACUAUUUUCUGUAGUUAUUACUCAUUCCUUCCCCUUCCGUACAACUUCCCUGCUCUGCACUGCCUAUAGCUGCCCACUUAAAAUAUUAAUAAUAAUGAAUAAUUUUUAAAUCUUCCCACCCUAUUCUGAUAAUAGGCGCUGUCACGCGGAACCGCUUAGCCUCAGCAUUCCGAGCUCCAGGAAGGGAGUUGAAUUGCAAGUCAGAUAGAAUUAUACAUAUAUCGUUUCUUUGAAACCUUCAGCACUCAAGGUCCAGCCAUCUCAAGGUCGAGCCAUCUCAAGGUCCGGACAUCAUGACCUCAGUUUUAGCACAAUUGUUGGUAGUCCUCAUCUCACUGCUUUUGGUGCUGCCUGUUGCUGAAGCAGUAGAAGCUGGAGAUGCAAUCGCUCUCUUUUUAGCUGUGGUUCUCUGCAUUACAGGUUUUUGUGCUUGUUUGGGGGUAUAUGCACGAAAGAGAAAUGGAGAGGUGUGACUUUGAAGGGCCUCCUGAAUCAAACCUUGCCCUGAAAAGCUCAGGUUAAAAACUGAGCUUUAAUGUCUGAAAGUUCCCAAGAAACAGUAAUAGGGUAAUUUUACAUAUAAAUGGGAAUAAACUGAUAUAUGUUAAAUGGAAAAAAAAAUUUUUUUCACAACAAAUAAUGCACUGAAAAAUGCAGUCUGUAAUUUAUUUACUAGUUAGAAAGGUCAAAGAAGAUGGCUAAAAUUUGCAUAAAUAAUAUUUAAUAAUCUCAGAAUUCUCAAAGCACAUGAAAUUAGAAGAAGGAAACUCUUGGCCGGAAUCCUAUGAAGCAGUCACUAUUCGGUUGUAAUUACUGCCUCCUGCAUUGUUGAGGAGUCUUUUCUCUAUAUUUUUAUUAGCUUUUUGUUUUGUAUCUCUCAACUUAGUAUUGUACUUGGAUAUUAGAUAUCAAAUAUAGUCAGUCAAAACCUAAAACUUUUAUUUCUUUGGAGGAAAAAAUGUAUUCAGUGUAUCUAACAUUGAAAUGGAGAACAGAUGUAAUGUAUAAAAAAUACUUUGUGUUGACAUUGAAAUAGAGAAGACAUUUAAUGUAAAAAUUAAAAGCCUUUAUACUGAGUAACAGCCCCGUGGUAAGAAAUACUGUAUUAAAGAUAAACCCAUUAUGUUAUAAGUAAAUAUAUGGUCUAUUUUUGUUUAUUUUAAGCUAUUAUUUUUCUUUAUGUGGACUUUUAUAAAAGCUAAGUGAGAAGAGCAGGAUGCUUUACCUUAAGUGGCCACACUAGCUUAUAGAGACACAAUUGGUGAACAAUGAGAAAUGGACAUAAUCAAGGUCCUUGGUAGAGAAUCCACAGAUACAGAAAGAAAACGUAGUGGCUUAUACUGAUUUACACACCAACUUGAUGAGACAUACCCUCUCUGACCUUGCUACUUAAAGUUUUCCCAAACCAGCAAUAUUACCUGGGGACUUGUUAUAAAUGCAGAAUCUCAGGCCUCAUCCAGAUCAGUUGGAUCAGAAUCUGCAUUUGUUUUAGAGUCCAGGAUAAUUUGUAUACACAUUUAAGUUUUAGAAGACUGAUCUAACCUGUUUGAUCAGUAAUCACCCAGUACACUUGAUAAAACUCAGAUUCCGAGGUCCAUCUCCCAGUUGUGUUGGAAUCAUUGUAGGUUGGAACCUGGGAUUCUAUGUUUAACAAGGGCACCCAGUGAUGCUUUUGAUUUUGUAGUUGCAACCAGCAUGGAAUUAUCUCAGUAAAUCAAACUAUUUUCGUUCUUACGGAAGCAUAUAGUCAAGUUUUUUCCUAAAAUAAUGCAUUAUCUAGUCUCUAGUUCUCCAGGUGACAUUGGGAGCCCUAAUUUUGGUCAGAAAACAGCAGCAACCUAAGAUUCCAUUUACAGUGCAUUUCUGUAGGUAUGAGCUGACCUGGCAAAUGAGGGAUUUGAUGGAGGGUACAAAGUGAGGGACAGACAUGCUAUAAAAACUGAAUGGAUCUGUUUUUGUCAUAGCUGUUUUGUUUUUUCACCAGAGAAAGCUCUAACAUUUUUUGUUCAAAUAAAUUGGCAGUUAUGCAUUGUGUAAUUAUAGAACUUAAUUUUACUUUUUUUUUUUUUUU